AACGAACGCUGGCGGCAUGCCUAACACAUGCAAGUCGAACGAGACCUUCGGGUCUAGUGGCGCACGGGUGCGUAACGCGUGGGAAUCUGCCCUUGGGUUCGGAAUAACAGUUGGAACCGACUGCUAAUACCGGAUGAUGUCUUCGGACCAAAGAUUUAUCGCCCAGGGAUGAGCCCGCGUAGGAUUAGCUUGUUGGUGAGGUAAAGGCUCACCAAGGCGACGAUCCUUAGCUGGUCUGAGAGGAUGAUCAGCCACACUGGGACUGAGACACGGCCCAGACUCCUACGGGAGGCAGCAGUAGGGAAUAUUGGACAAUGGGCGAAAGCCUGAUCCAGCAAUGCCGCGUGAGUGAUGAAGGCCUUAGGGUCGUAAAGCUCUUUUACCCGGGAUGAUAAUGACAGUACCGGGAGAAUAAGCCCCGGCUAACUCCGUGCCAGCCGCCGCGGUAACAC
rnacentral:rRNA from 1 species